UCCCUCUUAGCUCAGUGGUAGAGCGCGUCACUAGUAGCAGUUGCGUAUGAAAUCGAGUACGAAAUGACGAGGUCAGUCGUUCAAGUCGGCUAGAGGGAA